UUUAAAGAGAACUUUCGCAUGAACCGAAGUUCCUUUGAUAAAUUAUGUGACAUCCCCCGCCCGUUACAAAAAAUGGAUACAAAUUACCGAAAAGCUAUUCCUAUCGAGAAAAGAGUGGCUAUAACAUUAUUUGCUUUAGGGUCAUCUGCAGAGUAUCGUAGUAUCGCCAACAUGUUCGGUGUAGGAAAAUCUACGGUUUGCGAAAUUUUACUGGAAUUUUGCACCGAAAUCUGGAGAUUACUGCAGCCAUCCUGUUUUAAAAUGUUGCCUCUAAACAGAGAAAAUAUAACCGAAUUGGUGACUGGUUUCGAGGUAAUUGGAUUCCCACAAUGCUUAGGAGCAAUUGACGGAUGCCACAUUGAGAUUCAUCCAUCAUCUGAAGAAGCUGUUGAUUAUUAUAAUUAUAAAGGAUGGUAUUCCACCGUUUUAAUGGCAUUAGUUGAUGCUAAAUACCGUUUUACUUACAUAAACGUAGGAAGUCCCGGGCGAA